rnacentral:rRNA from 1 species
GACGAACGCUGGCGGCGUGCUUAACACAUGCAAGUCGAACGGAAAGGCCCCCACCUUGGUGGGGGUGCUCGAGUGGCGAACGGGUGAGUAACACGUGGGUGAUCUGCCCUGUACUUCGGGAUAAGCUUGGGAAACUGGGUCUAAUACCGGAUAGGACCAUGGUUUAGUGUCUCAUGGUGGAAAAAUUAUUGUUUUGGUGCAGGAUGAGCUCGCGGCCUAUCAGCUUGUUGGUGGGGUAAUGGCCUACCAAGGCGUCGACGGGUAGCCGGCCUGAGAGGGUGGACGGCCACAUUGGGACUGAGAUACGGCCCAGACUCCUACGGGAGGCAGCAGUGGGGAAUAUUGCACAAUGGGCGCAAGCCUGAUGCAGCGACGCCGCGUGGGGGAUGACGGCCUUCGGGUGGUAAACUCCUUUCGUUAGGGACGAAGCCACACCUUUUUUGGGUGUGGUGACGGUACCUUUGUGAAGAAGCACCGGCUAACUACGUG